rnacentral:lncRNA from 1 species
UGAAUAUGUGUAUGCAAUGUAAAUUGCUAAAUACAUGACCGGUAUAGUGCAUGUAUAUUAUUAUCGAUAAUGCCAUUGUGUUUUGGCUAUGUUCACACCCGAAAAAAGGUGUGUGUGUAUGCAUGAUAUGAUAAAUUUAUUAAGCAAAGGUAAAUGGAUAGGCUUGCUUGGGCUUAGUGAGCUAUGCUCAUUGAGCUCAUGCGCCGG